rnacentral:rRNA from 1 species
GGAUUAGAUACCCUGGUAGUCCACGCCGUAAACGAUGAUCACUCGGUGUUGGCGAUAUACUGUCAGUGCCCAAGCGAAAGUGAUAAGUGAUCCACCUGGGGAGUACGAUCGCAAGGUUGAAACUCAAAGGAAUUGACGGGGGCCCGCACAAGCGGUGGAGCAUGUGGUUUAAUUCGAUGAUACGCGAGGAACCUUACCUGGGCUUAAAUGUACUCUGACGUUCUGAGAAAUCAGAAUUUCUUCGGACAGAGUACAAGGUGCUGCAUGGUUGUCGUCAGCUCGUGCCG